UACGGAGGGUGCAAGCGUUAUCCGGAUUCACUGGGUUUAAAGGGUGCGUAGGUGGGUUGAUAAGUCAGUGGUGAAAUCCCCGAGCUUAACUUGGGAACUGCCAUUGAUACUAUUGAUCUUGAAUACCGUGGAGGUCAGCGGAAUAUGUCAUGUAGCGGUGAAAUGCGUAGAUAUCGAGAGGAACACCUGCGGCGAAGGCGGGUAGCUGGGCCGACACUGACGCUGAUGCGCGAAAGCCAGGGGAGCGAACGGG
rnacentral:rRNA from 1 species